GACGAACGCUGGCGGCGUGCCUAAUACAUGCAAGUUGAGCGCUGAAGGUUGGUACUUGUACCGACUGGAUGAGCAGCGAACGGGUGAGUAACGCGUGGGGAAUCUGCCUUUGAGCGGGGGACAACAUUUGGAAACGAAUGCUAAUACCGCAUAAAAACUUUAAACACAAGUUUUAAGUUUGAAAGAUGCGAUUGCAUCACUCAAAGAUGAUCCCGCGUUGUAUUAGCUAGUUGGUGAGGUAAAGGCUCACCAAGGCGAUGAUACAUAGCCGACCUGAGAGGGUGAUCGGCCACAUUGGGACUGAGACACGGCCCAAACUCCUACGGGAGGCAGCAGUAGGGAAUCUUCGGCAAUGGACGAAAGUCUGACCGAGCAACGCCGCGUGAGUGAAGAAGGUUUUCGGAUCGUAAAACUCUGUUGGUAGAGAAGAACGUUGGUGAGAGUGGAAAGCUCAUCAAGUGACGGUAACUACCCAGAAAGGGACGGCUAACUACGUG
rnacentral:rRNA from 1 species